GACAGAGGGGGCAAGCGUUGCUCGGAAUUACUGGGCGUAAAGAGCUCGUAGGCGGUUUGUCGCGUCUGCUGUGAAAACUCGGGGCUUAACUCCGGGCCUGCAGUGGGUACGGGCAGACUAGAGUGCGGUAGGGGAGACUGGAAUUCCUGGUGUAGCGGUGAAAUGCGCAGAUAUCAGGAGGAACACCGGUGGCGAAGGCGGGUCUCUGGGCCGUAACUGACGCUGAGGAGCGAAAGCGUGGGGAGCGAACAGG
rnacentral:rRNA from 1 species